CGCGCAACGCCGGUUGGGCGUCCCGCCGCUCGCCCCGGGGAGCGGGCGCGCGGGCACGUUCCUGCGGCCCCGCCCCCAACGGCGCGCACCCCUACGGCAGCCGAGGGGCGGGGGACCCGGGCGAGGCCGGUCAUGGAGGCCCUCCGAAGGGCUCACGAGGCCGUGCUACGGCUGCUGCUCUUCCGCCCCUGGGCCUCCGAUGCUGCCUCCCGCCUGAAGCCCCGCGCCUCGGAGGUGCUGACCCGGCACCUGCUACAGCGGCGCCUGCCGCACUGGACAUCCUUCUGCGUGCCCUACAGCGCAGUCCGCAACGACCAGUUCGGCCUCUCGCACUUCAAUUGGCCGGUGCAGGGCGCCAACUACCACGUCCUGCGCACCGGCUGCUUCCCCUUCAUCAAGUACCAUUGCUCCAAGGCCCCUUGGCAGGACCUGGCCCGGCAGGACCGGUUCUUCACGGCGCUCAAGGUCAUCAACCUCGGUGAGUGGCCCGGGCCGCUGAACCACGCCCUGCAAAUGAUGCCCCCCACUGUUUGCAAAGCACGCUAACAUUCUCGCUCCGAGGCCCAGACCCCGGCCCAAGAUGAGACGCUUCGCCCCAGGCCGCGGAGUUUCCCAGACUGCGUAUGCGUCCCCCCCACAACACCACCUUUCAGGUAUUCCAACUUUAUUAUAUGGACUUGGCUCCUGGUUAUUUGCUAGAGUCACAGAGACUGUGCACACCAGUUAUGGACCAAUAACAGUUUAUUUCCUAAAUAAAGAAGAUGAAGGUGCCAUGUAUUGAAAGUGAACAUUUGGAGAACAUAAAUAUCAGUAGAUUUUCUCAUGUGUAUGUGCAAUAUUUAUUUUUGAUCCUUUAAAAUAAAACUUUUGCAAACAUC